GAAAUGCGAUACGUGUUGCGAAGGAUGUCACCAGCAAACCCGAUGUCUCGCUCUGUGAAGAGCGUAGCUUACAACGCGACCCCAGGUCAGGCGGGGCUACCCGCUGAAUUUAA
rnacentral:misc_RNA from 1 species